AUUGAAGGCUUGAAUGAAUGGUUGGACGAGAAGUAAGCUGUCUCUUUUAUAUAAUUUGAAUUUAACUUUUAAGUGAAAAGGCUUAAAUUGUUUAGUGGGACGAUAAGACCCUAUAAAACUUGAUAUAAGUUUAAUUUAAUUUGUGAUUUAAGUGAAGAGCAAUUUUGUUAAAUCUAUAUUUUGUUGGGGAGAUGUAGAUAUAAAAUAUAACUGUCUAUUGAAUUUAAUAGUAAUAAUUAAUUWUUGAUCCUUCUGUGGGGAUUAGGAGAAUAAGUUACUUUAGGGAUAACAGCGUGAUUUUCCUUGAGAGUUCUUAUCGACAGGAGUAGUUGCGACCUCGAUGUUGAAUUA
rnacentral:rRNA from 1 species